rnacentral:tRNA from 1 species
AUUCAUGUAUUCUAAAAUUUAAGGGUUGGAUUCUUACUCCAAUAAUGUGAUCUUUCACCGUGAAUU